GUGCCAGCAGCCGCGGUAAUACGUAGGGUGCGAGCGUUAAUCGGAAUUACUGGGCGUAAAGCGUGCGCAGGCGGUUUUGUAAGACAGUGGUGAAAUCCCCGGGCUCAACCUGGGAAUUGCCAUUGUGACUGCAAGGCUAGAGUGCGGCAGAGGGGGAUGGAAUUCCACGUGUAGCGGUGAAAUGCGUAGAGAUGUGGAGGAACACCAGUGGCGAAGGCGACUUUCUGGCUUAUUACUGACGCUGAGGCGCGAAAGCGUGGGGAGCAAACAGGAUUAGAUACCCUGGUAGUCCACGCCCUAAACGAUGUCAACUAGCUGUUGGGGCCAAUAGGCCUUAGUAGCGCAGCUAACGCGUGAAGUUGACCGCCUGGGGAGUACGGUCGCAAGAUUAAA
rnacentral:rRNA from 1 species